AGCGAACGCUAGCGGCGAGCUUAACACAUGCAAGUCGAGCGGAGGGUUUCGGCCCUCAGCGGCGGACGGGUGAGUAACACGUAGGUUACGUGCCCUUUGGUGGGGAAUAACUUAGGGAAACCUGAGCUAAUACCGCAUAUGCCCUUCGGGUGAAAGUCUUCGGACGCCAGAGGAUCGGCCUGCGGCCCAUUAUUUAAUCCUUGUUGGUGGGGUAACGGCCUACCAAGGGUACGAUGGGUAGCUGGUCUGAGAGGAUGAUCAGCCACACUGGGACUGAGACACGGCCCAGACUCCUACGGGAGGCAGCAGUGGGGAAUAUUGGACAAUGGGCGCAAGCCUGAUCCAACAAUGCCGCGUGUGUGAAGAAGGCCUGCGGGUUGUAAAGCACUUUCAGUGGGGAAGAACAGAUUCGGGUCAAUACCCCGGAGCCCUGACGUUACCCACAGAAGAAGCACCGGCUAACUCCGUG
rnacentral:rRNA from 1 species